rnacentral:rRNA from 1 species
AACACUGGCGGCGUGCAUAACACAUGCAAGUCGCACGAGAAAGGGGCUUCGGCCCUGAGUAAAGUGGCGCACGGGUGAGUAACACGUGAAUGAUCUACCUCCGAGUGGGGAAUAACUGAGGGAAACCUUAGCUAAUACCGCAUAACACUUACGAGUCAAAGCAGCAAUGCGCUUGGAGAGGAGUUCGCGGCAGAUAAGCUAGUUGGCGGGGUAAUGGCCCACCAAGGCGAUGAUCUGUAUCCGGCCUGAGAGGGCGCACGGACACACUGGAACUGAAACACGGUCCAGACUCCUACGGGAGGCAGCAGUGGGGAAUUUUGCGCAAUGGGGGAAACCCUGACGCAGCAACGCCGCGUGGAGGAUGAAGUCUCUUGGGACGUAAACUCCUUUCGAUAGGGAC